rnacentral:rRNA from 1 species
AUUGAACGCUGGCGGCAGGCCUAACACAUGCAAGUCGAACGAGUGGCGGACGGGUGAGUAAUGUCUGGGAAACUGCCCGAUGGAGGGGGAUAACUACUGGAAACGGUAGCUAAUACCGCAUACCAUCGGAUGUGCCCAGAUGGGAUUAGCUUGUAGGUGAGGUAACGGCUCACCUAGGCGACGAUCCCUAGCUGGUCUGAGAGGAUGACCAGCAACACUGGAACGUAGACACGGUCCAGACUCCUACGGGAGGAAGCAGUGGGUAAUAGUGCACAAGGGGCGAAAGACUGAGGCAGCCAUGCCGCGUGUAUGAAGAAUGGCGUCGGGUUGUAAAGUACUUUCAGCGGGGAGGCGUUACCCGCAGAAGAAUCACCGUCUAACUCCGUGCCAGCCGCCGCGGUAAUAC